rnacentral:rRNA from 1 species
GUGCCAGCAGCCGCGGUAAUACGAAGGUGGCAAGCGUUACUCGGAAUUACUAGGCGUAAAGGGCAGGUAGGUGGUUCGGUAAGUCUGUUGUGUAAGCUCCCGGCUUAACUGGGAGAGGUCAACGGAAACUACCGGACUUGAGUAUAGGAGAGGUUACUGGAAUUCCCGGUGUAGCGGUGAAAUGCGCAGAGAUCGGGAGGAACACCAAUGGCGAAAGCAGGUAACUGGACUAUUACUGACACUCAGCUGCGAAAGCUAGGGGAGCAAACAGGAUUAGAUACCCUCGUAGUCC